rnacentral:rRNA from 1 species
CAGCAGUCGCCGCGGUAAUACGAAGGGUGCAAGCGUUAAUCGGAAUUACUGGGCGUAAAGCGUGCGUAGGUGGUGGUUUAAGUCCGUUGUGAAAGCCCUGGGCUCAACCUGGGAAUUGCAGUGGAUACUGGGUCACUAGAGUGUGGUAGAGGAUAGUGGAAUUUCCGGUGUAGCAGUGAAAUGCGUAGAGAUCGGAAGGAACAUCUGUGGCGAAGGCGACUAUCUGGGCCAACACUGACACUGAGGCACGAAAGCGUGGGGAGCAAACAGGAUUAGAGACCCCUGUAGUCCCUGUCUCUUAUAC